rnacentral:rRNA from 1 species
AUGGAGGUGGUAUGCUUUCGGCACAUGAUGCCAUCUUAUUGCUGGAAACUGAUGAGGUGGUUAAACAUCGGUCCUGAGAAAAAGCUCAAUGUGGAGCACACACUGCUACGAAGGUUCAUCAAGGAGAUGAUGGAGAGGAGGAAUAUCAAGACGUGGCAAGUUAAUAAUGAUGAGGAAGAAGAAGGUGUGGAUAUUGUAUCUUUCUUCCUCGAUGACCCAUGCUACGCUAAUGAUGACUUGUUUUGUGCUAUCACCAUUGGCUACAUGCUCGUUGCGAGGGACACAGUUGGAAUAGCCUUGACAUGGAUCUUCUACAACCUCGCCCAGAACCCUAACAUCGUUUCAAUCAUCCGCAACGAACUCUCACCGGUUGCAUCACAUAAAGUAGUAGCUGGUGUUGGAACUAUGGUGAUAUUUGAGCCGGAUGAGACCAGAUCUUUAUCCUAUCUUAGGGCUGCCUUAAUGGAGGGCAUAUGGGGUAAGGACUGCCUUGACUAUAACCCAGAUAGGUGGCUCUUGAAGGAUGGCGAUGGUCUAAGGUAUGUACCACCUCACAAGUUCCUGGCCUUUAACUCGGGGCCAAGGAUGUGCCUCGGUAAGGAAAUCGCGGUUAUGCAGAUGAUGAUUGUCGUGGCCUCAACGCUAUGGAACUUCGAUGUGCAUCUGGAGAAAGGGCAAAGCAUCGAGCCCAAGGCAUCUUGUAUACUAGAGAUGAAAAACGGGCUUAUGGUUAAGCUGAAGAAGCGAGAAGUGUAA